GGUUCUGGCACGGCGUCCCUGCGCCGACCCCGGGCGCGCCGGCGGGGGGAGGGCCUGCCUUGCGGAGGCUGCGGGGCAGUGCGGCGGGGCUGGCGAGCGGCGAGCGCGGGUCUGGGCUGCGGGGCACGGGCCCGCCGCGGAGGGGAACGGCGCUCUGCCGAGGCGCAGCUUUUCCCGAGGGGAAGGAAGGGCAGGCACUGGCUGUGAGGGAUGCAUCGUCCGGUGAUCUGCUAGAGCGUCACCAGUUAACGCGCUGCCUGCCGUAGUCUGUUUUUACUGAAGGAGGGUGCGCGUGGAGGCAGAGCUCCGGACUGCCGUGAGGUGCUUCGUGCCGUCUCCUGUUCUCUAGUGAGCCGAAGUCUGUAAGCAAACUAAUAAAACCAAGCUCCCGUCUCUUGCAUCGGAGAGGCUGGAGACCUUGGGGUGAGUAGGUAUGGACUCAGUUGUGGAUUGGCCAAGGAGGUGGACAGUUCCUGCAACAUCAGUUUGAGAAGGUGGCUAUUUACCCUGACUUCCCAUCCAGCUCACAGCAAGCCUAAAAGAAAGCCCAUCUCUGAAAAUCAAAGGAGGGAGCUAUGGCUUCACCUGGUCACUUGCCUUGGCCCUAACAUCAGGUGUCACAAACAGGACCCAGCAGGGCUUGUCUGUCAGCUGCCAAAUAAAAAAGAUGGAGCAGCCUGUCCACACAAAGUAAUUGUUAGCCAGUAAAGCUAAGACUGCAUUAGAUUUCUGGUACAUCAUGGGUAUUUGUUUGAAGUUCUACAUUCAAAUCUCUAUUUCCACAUUCUGAACCUGGCAUUUACUAGGGAUGCUGCCUGGAUGUGUAGAGAUGAGAUCAGGAAAGCCAAGGCACAGCUGGAGUUGAAUUUGGGAAAGGUUUCGAAGAAUAGUAAGAAGGGCUUCUACAGGUGUGUUGGGCAAAAAAGGAAGAUGAAAGAAAAUGCACACACUGCACCUCCCCCCACCACACCUCCCCCCUGAUAAAUAAGACAGGAGAACUAGUGGCAACCAUCAUGGAGAAAGCUGAGGUACUCAGCAAUUUUUUUACCUCAGUUUUCAAUAGUAAUCUCUCUUCCCACAUCUCUCAAGCCCCUGAACCUCAAGACAGGGACCAGGUACUGGGGGAAUGAAGUCCCUCCUAUUGUAAGUGAAGAUCAGGUUCGGGACGACCUGAGGAACAUGGACAUACACAAGUCCAUGGGACCCAAUGAGAUAUGCAUGCCAGGGUCCCGAGGGAAUCAGCUGAUGUAGUUGCCAGGCCACUCUCAAUCAUAUUUGAAAUGUCAGGCAAAGUCCCCAGUGACUGGAAAAAGGGAAACAUCACACCCAUUUUUAAAAAGGAGAACCCUGGGAACUACUGACCAGUCAGCCUCACCUUUGUGCCUGAUAAGAUCAUGGAACAGAUUCUCCUGGAAGAUGCAUCGAAACAGGGAGGUCAUUAAAGACAGCCAAUGUGGCUUCACCAAGGGCAAAUUGUGCCUGACUAGUCUAGUGGCCUUCUGCAAUGGGGUGACUGCAUCAGUGAAGAAGGGAUGAGCUAUGGAUGUCAUCUACCUGGACUUCUGUAAGGUCUUUGAUAUGGUCCCCCACAACAUUCUUGCUGUUAAAUUGGAGAGAUAAGGGUUUGAUGGAUGGAAUGUUAAGAUGGAUAAAGAAUUGGCUGGAUGGCCACAUCCAAAGGCUUACAGUCAACGGCUUGAGUCCAAGAGGAAACUAGUAACAAGUGGUGUUCCUCGGGGGUCCAUACUGGGAGCAGUACUAUUUAAUAUCUUCAUCAGUGACACAGGUAGUGGGAUUGAGUGCACCCUCAGCAUGUUUGUGGAUGACACCAAGCUGAGCGGUGCAAUUGAUCUCUAGAGGAAAGGGAUGCCACCCAGCAGGACCUUGACAGGCUUGUGCAGUGGGCCAGUGUGAACCUCAUGAGGUUCAACAAGGCCAAGCGCAAGGUCCUGCACCUGGGUCGGGGCAACCCCCAGUGUCAAUACAGACUGGAGGAUGAAU